AGCGAACGCUGGCGGCAGGCUUAACACAUGCAAGUCGAGCGGGCACUUUCGGGUGUCAGCGGCGGACGGGUGAGUAACGCGUGGGAACGUGCCCUCUGGUUCGGAAUAACUCAGGGAAACUUGAGCUAAUACCGGAUACGCCCUUUUGGGGAAAGGCUUGCUGCCGGAGGAUCGGCCCGCGUCUGAUUAGCUAGUUGGUGAGGUAACGGCUCACCAAGGCGACGAUCAGUAGCUGGUCUGAGAGGAUGAUCAGCCACACUGGGACUGAGACACGGCCCAGACUCCUACGGGAGGCAGCAGUGAGGAAUAUUGGACAAUGGGCGCAAGCCUGAUCCAGCCAUGCCGCGUGAGUGAUGAAGGCCUUAGGGUUGUAAAGCUCUUUUAUCCGGGACGAUAAUGACGGUACCGGAGGAAUAAGCCCCGGCUAACUUCGUG
rnacentral:rRNA from 1 species